AGAAGACGGGCAACUCAGUCUGGUUGAUGACAUAUGCCCUCGUCGUCGGAGCGUGAUUAAUGGUCCCGAUCGGAACGAGACCGUAGAGGAUCGUUCUCCGCCUUCGGGCGGAGGUGGCUUCGAGGGUUUCUGACAGACUCAUCAUCAACUUUUUCUUUUUUUCUGCCACGUUGACUUCCGGACUUCCGACCGGGUAACGUGAUGGCAAUGGCGCGGCUUUUUUUUUCAUUUCACAGGAUGCUCCAUGGCUUUCCUCCGGCGAGGCGUUGUUUGUUUUUCAAAGUGAUUUUUUGGGUAUCACCUUUCAGGUUGGCAUGUGGAUCAGUGGCUGCAAGGAAAGUUGAGGGUAAUAAAAGAACAGGAAAACCUGGAAUGUGUUGGUUUUCAUGCUAUGUGGUGCACUUGUAUAAUUAACAUUCCAACUCAAAGCUUAACUAAAUUGAUAUUAGAUCAAAUGUUGCCACAACAGACACUUCAGUGAAUUGAAAGGUUAGUGGAAUUUUGUCAAGUUUUGUCUGCAUAAUGGUAUGUUUUCUCUCUUUAGACACAUCAUUACCUUUAGGAAUGAAUCUGCUAGUUUUGUUUUUGGCUGAAAAGAUGAUUAAUGAGUGUGCCGAAGAUUAAUUGUUCGAAAGAAGAUGAACUGUGCAUCGGUCAUGCAACGAUGCAUGUGAUACAGAUUUUGGUAGGUUGAUGGGAUAAAAGCUGACAAGAUGAUGCUGCAGCUUGGUGAACUCGAAAGCUUUGGAGAAGUUAAUCUAAUGGAAUCCCGGGGAAUCAUUAUGGACAGGCAUGUCAUUCAUUCUUCUCUUUAUCACUACUUUGCUUGCAGUUUGCGCUAAAGAUUUUUAACAUUACCAGAUCAUUGCAAACGCUCUGCAGUAUUUUGGAAUUCUAAAUGUUCAAGGAGUUUCUAUUUGAGAAGUUUUAAGUAGAGUUUGAAUCAAAUAUUAUGUUUCCCA